rnacentral:lncRNA from 1 species
GCAUAAGGAAAUCAGUUCAGUUUAGUUCACCUUGGAGUAGAGGACCUAAUAUCAACAUUUAUUUUUCAAAAGAAAAGUGGAAGAAAUAUUUCUAUUUUUCAUUGCGAGAGAAAUGGUGAUUACCCUUCUUGUGAUGAUGUGAGAUGAUAGAAUGGCAACGUGAGGUGAGGAGAGAAGUGAGAGUGACAAUGUAGCCAUUGUGACAUAGCCCUAAGGGACUGUUGACCUUCUGACCCUCCUCUGGAGGAUCCUCUGCCUCAGGACCAUGGUUGAUCUUGAGUAACUGAACCUGGGGAGGGCAAAACCUUGAAUAAGGAUGGACUUCUGUGCCGGUUACUCUGCUCUAUGGAAAUAAAUUUCAGUGACCCGAACCUUCAUUCCCGAAGCUUCUCAGUAGGAGUCUUGCCUGCACUGGAUUUUUGCAGUUUUCCAUCCCUUUGUGUUUGGAACAGUGGGCAUCAUAAUUUAUUGCAGCUUGCAGUCCUCCUCAUCGUGGGCAAUACUCUUACCACAUGUAAGUACUUGAUUCCAUCACAUGAAUCAUUUUUACCUACUCACUGCUCUACAAAAUGUACCUCUGUCACCUGUUGGCAGUUCACCCGUCCAGACCACGGAGGAGCACCGUAUUUUAUGGAGUGCCUGCAGAAUAGAGACUUCAGCUCCCUCUGUGCUCUCUGAAGACAUAAACACAUGAAAAAAACAGCCCCGAACCCCUGGGGCUGAUAACCAUCAGUUCGAAGUAAAUUGGUAGCUCCAAUCUUAUGUAAACUUUUAUGUUGGUUUUUCCACCAAAAGGAGAUAAAAUUUCAUCUGUUGGAUUCUUAUUUGGUUCCCAGCUUACUGUGUUAUAGAUCCUCAUGGUAUUUUAAAACAAAACAAGAGACAAAGACUAAAAAGAAUUCAGUCCCGCUGAGCACCUCGGUUAGGUGUUAGCUCUCUGGGUGCAAGGGGAGGGGAGGAGAGGAGAAAAAAGUGGCAAUGUAAAAAAACCUGGUGGGGCACAUAGUCCAGAUAGCAUCCUGUUCCUGAGGUGCAGGGAACGUCCCUGAGCACCGCCUGGCGCGCAGAGCUGUUCUGCUGU